AGUCUUGUUAAGACAAUACCAGAAGCCAAGCAGCCGCUCCCAAAUGAAACUGGUUCAGUUCAGUUCAGACAAAAAAUUAGGGUUACCAAUUUCAAGAAGAAGAAAAAGAAGAGAGGAAAUUUCUAUUCUACAGAUAUGAUGUUAAGAUGUCUUUUAGAAGAUCCAAGCAUCUCUAUGGUAUUUGGAAAUGAGGGAUUAGCUCAUGAAUCCAGCUCCAGAUCUGGAGGUUUUAUCUGAAACUAUGGAUGUGUGGUGGUAAUUGGGUACUUUUGACAGCUGAGGGUGUGACAAAAUGAUGUGUUGAUUUCAAAAUUUUGAUAUAUUGAUUUAGCUAUUUUGUUGUGAAUAUUUGGGGGUCUGGAUUGCAUGGUAUAAUGAAAAAUUAGAUAGAGUUUAAAGGAUGAUAUGUUUGUAUAUGCUUUAGAUGUGUUGGAUUUGGAUAGUAACAACCAGAAUAUUGAUAUUGAACAACCCGAUGUUGAGAUUGAUGAAAGUAGUGAUGGGAUUUGGAAGAACCCAGAGAGAGAAGAAGGGAGUUUGGCAUACCGGAAUCUGGUUCUCCUUGGAUGGAAGAAGGUGGACAAGCUCGUGUAUCUGUUUCUGAAGUUUCGCUAAAAUGUUGAACAAAGACACAAUGAGUAUGAGCUGAGGAAGAAACAGAUGGUUUCGGAAUUCUUUUCAGAGCUGCUUUCCUGCAAAAGAUAGGGGUAUUGCUUUCGGUGAGAAGUUAAAUCAACUUGAAGCGGAUACUGGAGAACUGUUGAAAUAAGGAGAAGAAUUGUUGGCAGAUGCAGUCUUCAAGACUAAGAUUGGUUGGCAUAGGUAUGUGUGGAGGAACUGCGCGGAUCCUUCCAUAGCAGCACAAGCAUGAAACGGUUGAGGAGUUGUUGUGCUAGUGAUUCUAAUCUUAGAAGAACAGGAGUGCCUUUGGUUUUCAUGAGUUUAUGAACUUUGCAACGGUGAGAAUACUGAGCCAGCAAUGAGUUGGAAGGAGUUUUUUGAGCUGUGCCAAGUCAAGGCAUCUGCAUUAAGAAUCUGGUCGAGGCAUGAUAACCUCGAGAAGGUAGAGAUAAGGCGGAGGGCCCUGGCGCAUUGUCAUCAUCAUAUAGGAGAAGUGAUAUUCUUCGAAGAUUCAGGGAUCUUAGACUGUGAGUGGUUCUGGUGGGAAGUGCUUACUCAAUUGGUGAAGUUUGAUUGCCCAAGCCAGGCAUCUUUGGAAAAGAAUGUAUGUAUGCCAAAGAAAGAACUGGAUAGAACUCUUGAAAAGAUGUUUACAAAGUCGCAUUCCAGGCAUGAGCUUUUCGGGAAUUUUUGGAGUCUGGUGAUCGGAUGAUGUUAAAACUAGAACUGCGCCAGGAACAAGAUCCAGAUGAUACAAAUUCGCGGCUUCUACGAAUUUCACUUUUUCAAGAAGGGAGAGGAAGAUCACAAAUAUGGAAAAUAUCAGUGCCAGAUUGCAUUUACAUGUUGAGUGGGCCGUUUCGGACGGCACUCUUCUCACUCCAGGCUUCUUUCCCAGGUUACAGGUAUACCUAUCUACACAACAAGAUCUCCAAGUGGCAGAAUCAGCAAGGAGCAACUUACUGUCUUGGGAAAUACGUCAUCUCGCUAUCUAUCAACGGAAUAUAUAGUGAUGUACUUGCUUGCGUAUCCUAAAAAAAACCUGACUGAAACUCCAAGACUCUUGGGGCAGCUCAUAGUUCCAACCAUUCAAAGCCAACUCCAGAUCUAGAUGUUUUAUUUGAAACUAUUGAUAUGUGGUGGUGGUAAUUGGGUACUCGGAGGAAGGAAAAAAUGUUGUGUUGAUUUCAAAAUUUUACUAUAUUGUGAAUAUUUCGGGGUCUGAAUUUCAUGGUAUAAUGAAAUAUUAGAGAGAGUUUGAAGGAUGAACUGCGCACAUCCUUCCAUAGCAGCACUAGUAUGGAACUCUUGAGUAGUGGUCGUGUUCUAAUCAUAGAAGAGGAGUUCCAGCAGUGAGUCGGUAGGAGUAUUGUGAGCUGUGCCAAGUGAAGGUGUCAGCGUUGAGAAUCCGGUCGAGGCAUGAUAACGUCGAGAAGGUAUCCUCAUCUUGCUAUCUAUCAAGGGAAUACAGUGAUGUCCUUGGUUGCAUGUUCUAGAAAAAAUCUGACCAAAACUCUAAUGCUCUUGCGGCAGCUCAUAGUUCCAACAAUCCAGAGCCUCUGCCGUGGUCUCAGCUUAACUGAGAAUGUCGUCGGCCACCAGAGUGCGUGAAAGAUCUGACAGCUCCAAGAUACAGGAAAUCCCUCUCGGUUCCGGGCAGAGAGCAUGUAUGAUUGAUUGUCAACAUAGAUGGAGUUCAGUUUCUCAUGGUGGAAGACUAAUCUAAUUUUACAGCCUGGGUCUGAGUUUGAAGGAGUUUUGUGAGCUGUGCCAAGUCAAGGCGUCUGCAUUAAGAAUCCGGCCGAGGCAUGAUAACGUCGAGAAGGUAGAGAUAAGGCGGCGCGCCAUGGCGCAUUGUCUUCGUGAUAUUCUUCGAAGAUUUAACAUUUCGAUCUUAGACUGUGAGUGGUUCUGCGUGGAACUUCUUAGUCAAUUGGUGAAGCUUGGUUGUUGAAGCCAGUCAUGAUUAGAAAAGAAUGGAUUUAUGCGAAAGAAAGAACUGGAGAAAAUUCUGAAAGAGGAAGUUUACAAAGUCACAUUCCAGGAAUGCGCUUUUCGAGAAUCUAGAGUCCGGUGAUGGGAUGAUGUUAAAACUGGAACCGUGUCAUGAACAAGAUCCAGAUGAUACAAAAUUCACUGCUUUCAAUACCUCCACUUUGAAGAAAUCAGGCAGCCAUCAGAGAGUUUGCAAGUUAACAUCCAUUCCGUUCAGAGACUUAUUGAGAGAGAGAUUCCAAAGAUUUGUUGAGUUCCAAUUAACUGCGUUCACAGUUGAUGCAAGAUCAUCCAUCUCAGUAGGCAAACUCACUCGCCAUCUUUGAAAGACCAGCAAGACAAGAUACUCAAAAGAGUGGCUCGAGGUUAUGAACUUCGCCACGAUCUAGUAAAAAUUCUAUCUAGUUGGAAGUUGGAGAGUUUUGUGAGGUGUGUCAAGGCGUCAGCGUUAAGAAUCCGGUCGAGGCAUGAUAAUGUUGAGAAGGUAGAGAUAAGGCGGUUUGUCUUCAUCGUGUAGGAGAAGUGAUAUUCUUCGAAGAUUCAGGGAUCUUAGACGGUGCGUGGUUCUGUGGGGAAGUGCUUACUCAAUUGGUGAAGUCUGAUUGUCGAAGCCACGCAUCUUUAGAAAAUAAUGGAUAUAUUUCCAGAGAAAGAACUGGGGGAAUUUCUUAAGAGGAGGUUUAGCAUUCCAGGAAUAAGCUUUUCAAGAAUUGUUGGAGUCUGGUGAUCAAAUGAUGUUAAAACUGGCAAGAUCCAGAUGAUACAAAUUCACAUUCCAGGAAUGAUUUUUUUUGAGAAUUUUUGGAGUCUGGUGAUUGGAUGAUGUUAAAACUGGAACUAUGUCAUGAACAAGAUCCAGAUGAUACCUUCACUUUUUCAAGAUCACAAAUAUGGAAAAUAUCAAUGCCAGGUUGCAUUUACAUGUUGAGUGUGCCGGUUCGAACGACACUCUUCUCACGCCAGGUUUCUAUCCCAGGUUACAGGUACAAAAUAAGAUCCCCAAGUGGCAGAAUCAGCAAGGAGCAACUUACAGUCCCGGGAAAUACCCCAUCUCGCAAUCUAUCAACAGAAUAUAUACUGAUGUCCUUGCUUGCGUGUUCUAGAAAAAACCGAAACUAUUGACAUGUGGUGAGGGUGGUAAUUGGGUACUUUUGACAGCUGAGGAAGGAACAAAUGCUGUGUUGAUUCCAAAAUUUUAAUAUAUUGUGAAUAUUUUGGGGGUCUGAAUUUCAUGGUAUAAUGGAAAAUUAGAGAGAGUGUGAAGGAUGAUGCAUUUGUUGGUGCUUCAGAUGUGUUGAUAUCGAACAAGAAGAGGCUGUUGUUGGAUUUGAUGAAAGCAGUGAUGAGAUUCAGAAGAACCCAGAGAAGAAGUGAACUUGAUAUAUAGGAAUCUGGUUCUCCUUGGAUGAAAGAAAGUGGACAAGCUCGUGUAUCCGUUUGCGAAGAUUCACUGCUUCCGGAAAUGUUGAACAAAACUGUUGCCAGGAGAGACACCGUCUAUGGCACGUGAGUACGAGCUGGGAAAGAAACAGAUGGUUAUGCUACUCAUUACACUAUUAUGAAUGGGAAGCUGUAAUUCAACCACAAAUUACAAAUCUAGGUUGGGUUGUUCAGAGAUGGAUGUUGUUUCGCAGCAUUGGGCAGCGCUGAGAAAAACUAUUGCUGGCAAGAGUGCAUGAGAAUGAGAGAGAAGCGGUGUUUUCAGUGUUGCGUGAGGAACUGCGUUCCUGCAGAAGAUAGGGGUUGAAGCCGAGAACUGUUGGAAGGGAUGAAAUAAGGAGAAUUCGGACUGGGGUUUUAUUAGGUUUUGUUUUAGGGUUUUUGUAAUUGAUGUAUUGUUAUCCAUGAUUUUGGUUUUAAUUUCAUAGUAUCAUGAGAUUCAAGUUCUUAGAGUUGUAUGAUUAUUAUAUGAUGUUCUUCUUUUGUAUUUGUCUUAGAUUAUCAUGCAGCAGACUAA